UCCGAGUUGUAAUUUGUAGAGGAUGUUUUGGGUACCGCCCCGGUUUAAAUUUCUUGGAACAGAAUGUCAAAGAGGGUGAGAAUCCCGUCUUGGACCGGUGGUAGGGCCUGUGUAAAACUCCUUCGACGAGUCGAGUUGUUUGGGAAUGCAGCUCAAAAUGGGUGGUAAAUUUCAUCUAAAGCUAAAUAUUGGCCAGAGACCGAUAGCGCACAAGUAGAGUGAUCGAAAGAUGAAAAGAACUUUGAAAAGAGAGUUAAACAGUAUGUGAAAUUGUUGAAAGGGAAGCGCUUGCAACCAGACUUGAGCGCGACGGUUCCCCUAGCCUUUUGGCUAGGUUACUCCGUCGUGUCCAGGCCAACAUCGGUUCUGAGGGUCGGUCAAAGGCCCCGGGAAUGUACCUACCCACGGGUAGACUUAUAGACCGGGGUGUCAUGCGGCCUCUCGGGACCGAGGAACGCGCUUCGGCUCGGAUGUUGGCGUAAUGGUUGUCAGCGACCCGUCUUGAAACACGGACCAAGGAGUCUAACAUCUAUGCGAGUGUUUGGGUGUCAAACCCGGAACGCGGAAUGAAAGUGAACGGAGGUAGGAAGCUUCGGCUGCACUAUCGACCGAUCCUGAAGUUUACGGAUGGAUUUGAGUAAGAGCAUAGCUGUUGGGACCCGAAAGAUGGUGAACUAUGCCUGAAUAGGGUGAAGCCAGAGGAAACUCUGGUGGAGGCUCGCAGCGGUUCUGACGUGCAAAUCGAUCGUCAAAUUUGGGUAUAGGG
rnacentral:rRNA from 1 species